rnacentral:lncRNA from 1 species
UGGGCGAUGGUAGGGGAAUAGAGAGGAUAACUAUGGUUUCUUUACUUCAAAGGGAUAUGUCUAUGUCUGGGACGAACCACGUGAUAAGAAUACACCACAAAGGAUGCUUAUCCAUAGGCCGAUAAACCCUACCGGUCCUGCUAACAAGAGGUGGACUAUAGGGGACCAACGUAACUAUCACCUACGCGGCCUACCACACGAUCCAGCUAGACAGGGGAUAUCCACAAGUAAUCUAGGUCUAAGCACCACGCUUACACCUAUACUACAACUCCAAUCUAUAGGGUC